GUAAGAAUGAGCUAAGAACUGGAUAUCUGUAAAGCUAAUAGAAAAAAAUCCUGUGAAGCAAAAAGUCAAAAUUGAAAUAAGCUAGGACCGACAGCAAGGUUAAAUGCUUAUUUUUUUUUAGUGUUCAUAAAUAAGGUACAGUUUUAAAAAUAUCAUAAACAUUUUUAUGAUCCUAUUCUCAGGGCCCGGUUUUUUUUGUAUCUUUAAAAUUAUAGUAUUUUGAUUCUAGAAAUGAACCCUUGAACCAAUAUCCGUAUUUUAUCAUGAAUAAGGUGAGAGUAACAUUGAUAAAAUGACUUGCUAUAGUUUACAUUGCUACUUAAGGACAGUACUAGACCAGAAACCAAGUCUCCUGAGUCCCAUUUAAGUGCUGUUUUUGUCACACCAAGCAGUUCUCUAAGUAUAUAGUCUUUUUUUUUUUUUUGAAACAGGGUCUCGCUUUGUCACCCAGGCUAGAAAACAGUUGCAUGAUCAUGGCUCACUACAGUCUUGUUUUUAGAGAUGAGGUCUCCUUAUGUUGCUCAGGUUGGUCUCAAACUCCUGACCUCAAGCAGUCCUCCUGCCUCUGCUCCCAAAGUGUUAUGAUUACAGGCAUGAUCUACUGCACCCAGCCAGUAACUUUUUUUUUUUUUUUUGAGACGGAGUCUCACUCUGUUGCCAGGCUGGAGUACAGUGGCGCGAUCUUGGCUCACUGCAAUCUCCGCCUCCCAGGUUCAAGUGAUUCCCCUGCCUCAGCCUCCUGAGUAGCUGGGACUACAGGUGCCUGCCACCACGUCUGGCUAAUUUUUAUAUUUUUAGUAGAGACAGGGUUUCACCAUAUUGGUCAGGCUGGUCUCAAACUCCUGACCUCAGGUGAUCCGCCUGCCUCAGCCUCCCAAAGUGCUGGGAUUAUAGGCGUGAGCCACCGCGCCUGGCCGCCAGUAAUUUUUUUUUUUAAAGGGAUUAAUAUCCAUUGCAAGACUUGGUAACGGAUCACAGAGAACUCAUUAGUUAAUUAAAUCAGUUUCACAGUAUUGUGUUUUGGUUUUGGAAAUCACUUCAGACCUAUAACCAAUAUUGAGUGAGUUGAAAAGAAUUAAUUACUUCCAAAUACAAGGCACUUUACAUUCUUCUAAGGAGAGGAUGCAACACAAAGCUAUUUGGUCAGCUUGAUACAAAAGCUCUUAGGUGUGCUCAUGAAGUAAGUCAAAUGUAUACAUUUUACAACCACAUAUUAAAUAGAAUUAGUUUUUUCUUUUUCCUUCCCAUUUCUUUGAACAGUCUUAUUCAGAAUCUUCAUCAUUAGCAACUUUGUCAUCAUUGGAGCCCUUUUCUCUAGAACACAUCAGCCUCUUUCUAUGUAUGAUAUUUUCGCUGGAAAUUUUAUCCUGAGCUAUAAAUGCCUCUCAUGUAAGAAAAGUUUUUUUUUUGUUUUUUUUUUGAGACAAGAUCUAACUCUGUUGCCCAGGUUGGAGUGCAGUGGCGUGAUCAUGACUCACUGCAGCCUUGACCUUGUGGGCUUAAGCAAUCCUCCCAUCAGCCUCCUGAGUAUCUGGGACUACCACUGUGCACCACCACACCUGGCUAAUUUUUGUAUUUUUUGUUGAGAUGGGGUCUUGCCAUGUUGUCCAGGCUGGUCUUGAGCUCCUGGGCUCAAGUGAUAUGUCUGCCUUGGCCUCCCAAAGGGCUGGGAUUACAGGUGUGAGCCACCAUGCCUGGCCAAGAAAAGUUUUUUUUAAAGUUUAUUUUUGUAUGUAGUCAUAAUACUUGUAAGGUAACCUUUUCACUGUAUUGCUUUUUAAACUAAGGUUUAAAUAGUUCAUUGUAAUAAGAGUUACCGUUUGUGCUUAUAAGGCUGCAUCUCCAGGAGUAAGUACUAAAUCUGUGUUAGAUUUCUUUGCUGCUUUUUUUUGUUUGUCUUUUUUUUUUUCUUUUACUGAUAUGGUCAGGUGGUCAGGUUACUUCCGUAAGGAUCCAAAACUAGAGUUGAUUGAGAUCAUUUCAGGCUUAUACAUAAUCUACAAAUGAUUCUCAACCAAUUGAGAUCUGAGUUCACCUCUUUUGCUGAACUUUUAAUUGUGAUCUUACUGUAAAAUUCUAGGAUCUCAUAACUUCUAUGAAAUUUUUAUACCUGGAUUAUAAAACUUCGGAAAGAUUUGCUUAAAUAUUUUGUUGCUUAAAAGAAAAUAAUUGGCCGAGUGUGGUAGCUCACGCCUGUAGUCCCAGCAUUUUGGGAGGCUGAGGCAGGUAGAUCAGUUGAGCUCAGGAGUUUGAAACCAGCCUUGGCAACGUGGCGAAACCCUGUCUCUACUAAAAGUAUAAAAAAAAUUAGCUGGGCAUGGUGGCACUCACCUGCAGUCCCAGCUACUCAGGAGGCUGAGGUGAGAGGAUUGCUUGAGCCCAGGAAGUUGAGGCUGCAGUGAGCAAAGAUUGCACAACUGCACUCCAGCCUGGGCAAUAGAGUGAGAACCCGUCUCAAAAAACAAACAAACAACCCCCCCGCACCCCCCCCCCCCAAAAAAAAACAAACAGAAAAUAAUUAACACUGUCAUCAAGGAAGGUAACUCAUUAUAAGGAUUUAAAAAAAAAAUUUUUUUUUGAGACGGAGUCUUGCUCUGUCACCCAGGCUGAAGUGCAGUGGCACAAUCUUAGCUCACUGCAAGCUCCACCUCCCGGGUUCACGCCAUUCUCCUGCCUCAGCUUCCCAAGUAGCUGGGACUAUAGGCGCACGCCGCCACACCCGGCUGAUUUUUCUAUUUUUAGUAGAGGCAGGGUUUCACUGUGUUGGUGAGGCUAGUCUCGAACUCCUGACCUCGUGAUCCACCCGCCUUGCCCUCCCAAAGUGCUGAGAUUACAGGCGUAAGCCACCGCGUCUGGCCUAUAAGGAAUAAUUUUGUGAUUAAACAUGGUCUUAUAUUCAUGAACGAUAGGUGAAUGAAAAAUGUGUGUUAUUGGUGGUAAAAUCUUAAAAUCCUUAAAGAAUUAAUUUAAAUUGCUACCUUCUACUUAUGAAGCACUAUAUGGUGCCCUGGACUUAGCAUUAGAAGAAACUUAGUUUAUGUAUGAGUUUUGCCAUAGGCUGUAGUCUUGGGGUAUUAGUUAGAAUUCAAUGCCACUAUGAUAUUAAGAAAUUUAUUACAGGAAUUAAAUCUUAUUCAAUCAUGAGAAAAACUGGGGAUAUUAAGGUCCCUAAAAUGUGAGAGAAAAAUCGCUAAACUGCCUUUUGAUGUAGGUUAAUGAAUUGCGUGUUCUGUUAAUAGGGAAACUGUGAAGGAGGUUCGUGUGUUGUGGGCUCUUUGCAACUACCACCUUUAUGGGCCUUUAGUGAAAAAUCUGGUGAUAGGCUUGGUCCUGGUAGUUGUGGACGUAAGGUAGAGUGGGGAUGAGUAAGGACAGAUUACAGUUCUGCCCAUACCUUUGUGUCUGUCCUUCCUGCCUCUAACCAAUGACUGCCUUUGGAAUGUAAUGGCUACUGCUUCAAUUGCAUCCCCUAAAUUUUUUGCAAAUUUCUCUUGUGACAUAUCUUAAGCUGAAACCAUAUAGGAGAGGAAAUUAGGGGAAGUGUACUCCUUCUUGACAUAGUUUAAUACCUUAACUUUGUUUAAUCACUUAGUCUUCCAAACUUAAGUUCCUCCGAUAUCAUUUUGGGUUUAGAUUAGUGCUUUUCUGUCAUUGUCCAUUAAACAAAUGAUUUCUUUCAUUACCUACUUCUCUUUUAGUCUGUUCAGUGAUCCCUCUGGGUAUAGCUUCUGAAUUUCUAGCAUAAAACUCUUCAACAAUAACAAAAAAGGAUAAUGAUCUUUCCUGUCAAUUUUUAGGGGGAAGGAUAAGGUGUUUCCUAGAAACUUUAUUCAGAGCACUUUAGUCAAAGUGUAGUUCAUUGAUCCUUAACUGCAAUUUACUUGACAAGAUAUAUUUAUGGGAUGAAAUUUAUUGAGGGUAACAGAAUGGAGAGAGAAACUGCUGGUGUGAUGAAUUCUCUUUCUUCUUGGUCUACAACAAACAGAAAUAUUUUGAGAAUGUAGCUAUGGCAGAUUUUAAUGUAAGAGUUAUGCCAACACUAUUUCCCCUUAAGGGUUGAGUCAGACCUUUUGGGAAUGAUAUAGACUUGGGGGUCUUGAGUGAACUUUUAGUAUUUAUUAGCAGCCAAUCUAACCUUGAAAACUCUAUGUUGAUUUCUUUUUGGAAAGUGUUGAACAAUUAAAUAAUACAUGUUAAAGAACAAGGAAGAAGGGCAUUGUUUUAAUUAUUUUGUGAUCUAAUUUAAUCCCCACAGCAACUCUGUGAAGCAGAUAUUGUAAUCAUUCCCAUUUUACAGAUGAGGAAGAGACUUCGUAACUUGGUUUAUAUAAGAAAAGGAUAGAACUGUUUAGAUCUUUUUGAUUGCUUUCCAUUUUGUAUAAGUUCAGUGACUUAGGAACCUUUUUUAAAAAACUUCUUUGGAGGAGUGAUAUUGUUCAUUAUGAACAUACCUACUUGAAAAGUAUUUAAAGGUAUUUUUCAUGGAAAUUAUAUUUUAUAAGUUUUAGUAUGGUUCACUAGAAAUACGUCACAAUUUGUAGGUAAUACUGUGUUUUAUUUUGAGUUGGCUAAUUGUUAAGGUAAAACUUUAGAGGAUAAAGUGAGCUCAUAUUGAUGAAUGGUAAUCUGAUAUUUCCAACAGACUAGGUCUUUUUUUGAAGUUCAUGUAUUAUAACUUUAUUCUUUGUGAUACUAGCUCCCUCUGUAGAACUUCAAUAAGAUUGCAACUGGACUUUUUCAAUAAUUUAGAAAAGUGAUCUAAACAUUAUCUAUAACAUUUCCCUGUAAAAUUUUACUUUGUAUUCUAAUCAGUUGCAAGUGGGUUUUUAAAAGUAUAAAUGUAACAUUUAUAAAAAUGUUUCACUUUGUACACACAAAGUUUUAAUAACAUAUACAAAAUAAAACUUUCUUCAAACAUUCCUAUAACUUUAAUGCUUUUUUAUUUAGGAAGGCUAGAGAGAGGUGUGAUUUCUAGGUCUGUAGGUCUGUGUUGAGUAAAGCCUGAUGGAAGCCCUAGGGGAAAAAUAAAUUUUGACGUUUAGCUGGAUACUUGAAAUUAUCCCUUUUUUUUUUUUUUUUCUGAAACUUUCCGGUUUGACUUGGGUGGGAAAAUGUUCAUAAGGGAUUUUUUUUUUUUAUCUUGUAGAGAAGGGGAAAGCAAACUUCUACAACAGGUAGAAAGAGCAAAGAGAAAAUCUUAGCAAGAUCCAGAAAUUUAGUGGAGAAUUGCAGGAAAACAUUCUUGACAUUUACGGUUUAAAAAAAUUUUCCUUUUUCUUUUUUUCUUAAGAGGUGGUCUCACUCUGUCGCCUAGACUGGAGUUGAGUGGCAUGAUCAUAGUGAUCGUUCCACCUCAGCCUCCUAAGUAGCUGGGACUACAGGUAUGUGCCACCACGCCUGGCUCCUUUUUGUAUUUUUAGUAGAGAUGGGGUUUUGCCAUGUUGCCCAGGCUGGUCUUGAGCUCCUGGACUCAAGUGGUCUGCCUACCUCAGCCUCCCAAAGUGUUAGGAUUACGGGCGUGAGCCACUGCACCCUGCUCACAUAUAUGAGUUCUAUGAGUUUAUGCUGUUGUUGGAAAAUCCUUUGUUAUCAAAGUCUACCAAUUUUCCUGUGUGGGAGUGAGCUUACUUAUUUUACCACCACUUUUUCUCCUUUCUUUCUGCUAUGGUUUGAAUGUUUGUCCCCUCCAAAACUAAUGUUGAAAUUUAAUUGCCAUUGUAACAGUAAUAAGAGGUGGAGGCCUUUAAGAGGUGAUUAGAUCAUGGGGCUCUACCUUCAUGAGUGCAUUAAUGCAGGAGUGGGUUAGUUAUCUCUUAGAGGGUUGUUAUAAAGUGAGUCUGGCCCCUCAAGCACUUGCUUGCUGUUUGCCUUCUGCCAUGGGAUAAUGCAGCAAGAAGUUGCUGAGCAGAAGCUGGCACCAUACUCUAGGACUUCCCAGCCUUCAGAACUGAGAAACAUAUUAAUGUUUCUUUCCUUUAUAAAUUACCCAAUCUCAGGUUUCUGUUAAAAGCCGUAGCAAUCAAACUAAGACACUCCCCUAAACCAUUUUAUAUUAAAUUGUAAGUUGUAUAAUUAGCUCUUCAAAGAUGUUUUCUCAGACAUAAUGUAAGCUCAAUGAAGGCAGAGGAAAUAUGAUUGACUUGCAACAUGGAAUUUAGAAAAAUGAGCGAACUGAUUUCAACCAUAAAGCUAGGGACUAAAACAUACAAAUGAGGAUAAGAAAGAACUGAAGUACAUAUGCUCUUUCAGUUUCUAAAAAUUUAACUGUAUUUUCUUCUAAGUAGAUUGAAGGAUGUUCUUAGGAUUAUGCUUGAGUAGGCUUUUAAACAAUUUUGUGUGGAUAAUUAUCUUUGAAGCCUUUGUUAGUACUAAACAUCUUUAUUCUGUUAUAAUACAGUUUAUUCAAACAGACGUACAGUGUGUAUUGUGGCACAAAGAAAUUCAAGAAUGAUUCUUAUUCUUUUUGUUUGUUGGCCUUGACUAAAUUUGAUACCAGAUAAUUGCUUUAAAGGAUAGGCCAAUUUUAUUGGUAUAACAAAUCUACCCUUCAUUAUCCAUAAACCACUUAUAUAGUAAUCUGGUUUUCCUAUACAGGCACACCUUGGAGAUAUUGGGGGUUUGGUUCUAGACUAUCACAAUAAAGUGAAUAUCACAAUAAAGAGAAAUACAUGAAGAUUAUAUUCCCCAGUGCAUAUAAAAGUUGUGGUGAUAUCACACUGUAAUCUAUUGUAUACAAUAACAUUGUGUAUAAAAAAUGUAUAUGCCUUAAUUUAAUGUAAUCUAUUGUAUACAAUAACAUUGUAUAUAAAAAUGUAUAUUCCUUAAUCCAUAAAAAUACUUUAUGGAUGAAAAUGCUAACAAUCAUCUGAGCCUUUAGCAAGUUACAAUCAUUUUGCUGGUGGAGGGUCUUGCCUCAGUGUUGAUGGCUACUGACUGAUCAGGAUGUUGGUUGCUGAAGGUUGGAGUGUCUGUGGCAAUUUCUUAAAAUAAGACAAUAAUGAAGUUUGCUGUGUCAGAGCCUUCCUUUCAUGAAAAAUUUCUCUGUAAUAUGCAAUGCUGUCUGAUAGCAUGUUACCCACAGUAGAAUUUGGAAAAUUGGAGUCAGUCCUCUCAAACCAUGCUGUUACUUUAUCAACUUAAGUUUAUGGAAUAUUCAAAAUUCUUUGUUGUCAUUUCAGCAGUGUUCACAGCAUCUUCACCAGGAGUACAUUCCAUCUUAGGAAACCACUUUUUUUGCUCAUCUAUAAGAAGCAACUCCCUGUCCAUUCAAGUUUUAUCAUGAGAUUGCAACAUUUCAGUAUCCAUCUUCAGGCUCCACUUCCAAUUCUAGUUCUCUUGCUAUUUCUACCACAUCUGCAGUGACUUCUUCCCUGAAGUCUUGAAGCGCUCAAAGUCAUCCACAAGGGCUGGAAUUCACUUCUUCCAAACUCCUGUUAAUGUUGAUGUUUUGACCUCCUCCCAUGAAUCACGAAUGUUCUUAAUGGCAUCUAGAAUGAUGAAUACGUUGCAGGAGGUUUUCAUUUUAGUUUGUCUGAUCCAUCAGAGGAAUCACGGUCUAUGGCAGCUAUAGUCUUGCAAAAUAUAUUUCUUAAAUAAUAAGACUUGAAAGUCAAAAUUACUUCUUGAUUUGGGGGUUGCAGAAUGAAUGUUGUAUUAGCAGCCAUGAAAACAGCAUUCAUCUCCUUAUACAUCUCCAUCAGAGCACUUGGGUGACUGGGUGCAUCAUCAAUGAGCAGAAAUAUUUUAAAAGGGGCCAGGCAUGGUGGCUCAUGUCUGUAAUUCCAGGACUUUGGGAGACUGAGGCAGGCAGAUCACCUGAGGUCGGGAGUUCGAGACCAGCCUGACCAACAGGGAGAAACCCCGUCUCUACUAAGAAUAGAAAAUUAGGUGUGGCAGUGCAUGCCUGUAAUCCCAGCUACUCGGGAGGCUGAGGUAGGAGAAUCGCUUGAACCCAGGAGGCGGAGGUCAUGGUGAGCCAAGAUUGCACCAUUGCACUCCAGCCUGGGCAACAAGAGUGAAACUCCAUCUCAAAAAAAUAAAAGCCUAGCCUCCCAAAGUGCCAGGAUUACAGGCAUGAGCCACCGCGCCUGUCUGUCCGCCCGUCUUCUUUUUUAAGAGCAAGAAAAGGUUUCCCAGAAGUACUCUGGUAGAUUCUUAUCACACACACAUUCCUAAACCAGUUACUGGCAAAGAAAAUAGAAUUAUCAUGAUUAAUUAGCAUAUUCUGAAGUACAUGCUUCCUUAUAACUGAACAAAAAUUAGAGCUCCACUGGCAACGCGGAAAUGGCUGUUGACUUGGCAACUAAUAGUGAAUUGCUCACAAUGUUUAAGUGAAAUGGCCUGUCAGAUUUCCUGGGAACACAGGAACCAGGGCCAGACUUAGAAACGGCCUCAGUAAGAGGUUUUCUAAAACUAUUUUCUGGUAUCGUAAUUAUUCCUAAUUACCUUGUGCACUAAAAAAAUUUAAAAAUUUUAAAUUUAGAAUUUUAAACACAUUUCCUGACAGUAACCAAGAUAUAAAAAUGUGUAAAAUUGAGUGAAUAUAUUUUAAAGCAUGGAAGAUUUGUGUUACCCUCAGACUUGAAAGGGAACCUGCAAAGUUAUGGUCUCAUGGGAAAUAUUGUUUCUUUUUGCCUUGACAUAAUUUUCAGGCUCUUUGGUUUUAUUCUAAGCAACCCAGCAGGGCACCUUUAAAAAGAAACAAACAAAAUUACUGUCUCUAAACCAAAGAAGAUAGAAAAAUACAUUCAGGAGAAUAGUAUACAUUGAAAACUGCCACUUUAGCUAGUGCUUUUUUUUUUUUUUUUUUUUUUUUAAGACGGAGUCUCGCUCUGUUCCAGGCUGGAGUGUAGUGGUGCGAUCUCAGCUCACUGCAACCUCCACCUUCCAGUUUCAAAUGAUACUUAUGCCUCAGCCUCCUGAGUAGCUGGGAUUACAGGGGCCAGCCACCAUGCCCAGCUAAUUUUUUCAUAUUUUUAGUAGAGAGUACUUUUUAACUGAGAAGAGAUGCUGUAAAGUUUUAGGAAAUCACAGUGGGGACAGUAGUCAUACUUCUACUUUCUUCUGAAUAUAAUAUUGUUUCUUUUUUCUCCUGCAGUUACUUAUUUUUUUUUUCUUUUUGCUUUAAGGCUUGGUAGUUCUGAGAAUUUUAGAUUCAGUUAUAAUCGAAUGUAACUAUCAACACAUGUUAUGGAGUAGUAUAAAUUGUUACUUGAUGUUUGGAGUUGUUUUACUCAGUCACUCAGCAAAGGUAAGAUUAGAUCUCCGUUAGAUGAAAAGUAUUAUCUCUUAUGCAAAGAGACAUUGGUUAGCUCUGGAUGAAGACAAUGGCUAUGGGGUCAGUCAACCUUGUAGAAAGAAUAGGCUAGGCACAGUGGCUCAUGCCUGUAAUCCCACCACUUUGGGGUGGUCGAAGCCAGUGGAUCACUUGAGCCCAGCAGUUCGAGACCAAACUCGGCAACAUAGUGAGAGCCCCCUCUCUACAAAAAAUUUGAAAAUUAGCCAGGGCAUGGUGGUGUGUACCUCUGGUACUAGCUAUCAGGAGGCUGAGGUGGGAGGAUCUCUUGACCUGGGGAGGUUGAGUCUGCAUGCAGUGAGCCAUGAUUGCGCCACUGGACUCCAGCCUGGGUGAGAAAGUGAGACCUUGUCUCAAAAAAAAAAAAAAAAAAAAAAAAAAGACACAAUAAAAGUAAAAUUGUAUAAUCUCUGGAAAAAACAAAAUAGGCUGUCAUGUUCUAAUACUCAAUAUGUAAGGAUGUUUAGUAUAUUAGUGGGUAUAAUUAUUAAUAAAAUAUUCUAUUUAGUUAUCUUUGAACCAGUUUGUAAUAACCAAACCACAAAAAUUCAAUUUGCUUUGUAUGUAAAAAUCUUUUAAAAUAGAAAGUCCUGCCUUAACUUUCAUAAAUCUGAAUGUGAGCAUAUAUUUAUGCUUUUCAUUUCUUUGCACAGCUUUUUUUUUUUUUCCUCUAAGACAGAGUCUCACUCUGUCACUCAGGCUGGAGUAUAGUGGCACGAUCUGAGCUCACUGCAACCUCUACCUCCCAGGUUCAAGUGAUUCUUGUCCAUCAGCCUCCCAAGUAGCUGGGAUUACAGGUGUGCAACACCAUACCUGGUUAAUUUUUGUAUUUUUAGCAGAGACAGGGUUUCGCCAUGUUGUCCAGGCUGGUGCACAGCAUUUUGUUGUUGAUGUGUGAGACUUGUAAUAUAACAGUAAUAAUGCUGUCAUUUCUUAAAGAUGAUAUAUAAUCCUAUCAAAAUAUUCCUGGGAAGUAGGUAUUUGUCAGCCUGUCAGUGUUUUCCUUUUAUUUUGUGUGUGUGUGUGUGUGUGUGUGUGUGUCUGUGUGUGUGUGUGUUUUAGUACAUUCUCCCAGAUGCUGAAAUUUUCCCUUUAAACUGUUACUAUGAUGUAUGUCUUAUUUCUUUCUCUUUUUUGGUCCUAAUUAUGCUCUCAGGAGUUAAGACAGUAUAAAAUUAUGUUUUUUAAAGGAAACUUCAUCAAAUACUUGGAAAUUAGCAAAUAUUUUUUAGAGGUAGAAACUGUCAUUUAUAUUCCUAAGACUUGUAGGCCAUUGUAUUUGUUGACUGACUGAUUUGACUGAGAACCUAGUGUGUGAUAACGUGUCACUGUUUCUGUCAACUUAUAUAAUUGAGGGUCUUUUUAAUUGUUCUUACCUUAGACCACUAUAUACUUGUGGUCUUAUAAAGUAUAUUUGAAAAUUAUAUGCAUUUUCAUGUUUUGUCUGGGCCUGGGAAAAAUAUUUAUUUUAAAACUGUAACAUCUUAACCUUUAAAACCCAUUGUCAGUUAUUUGGAAAAAUUAGUAUUAUAUGAUAUGAAGCACUUCUUUUUAUUGCUGAUUUCAGGUUUCACUAUCUGGGAAACUCCGGUGUGGAGACAUAGCUACCUAUGGCCUGCCCCACCCGCAUCCUGUGCCUGUAAAGCCCCGGACUCAGUAGGUAGAGAGGAGAGAUUCUGCCAGACUUUCGGGAAAAGAGAUGGCUUGACUUCGGGGAAGAGACUACUGCUGUACUUCAGGGAAGACCACCUACUCUUCCCGUCCCCUCUCCAGCUCCCCUCUCCACUGAGAGCCAUUUCCACCGCUCAGUAAAAUUCUCCACCUUCACCAUCCUUCAAGUGUCUGCAUCACUUCCUUCUUCUUGGAUACUGGACAAGAACUCAGAACCCACGGAGUGCAGGUACCCAAAAAGGCUGUCAUACUGGCCCUUUGCCCUCGCUGGCGGAGGGCAGCCACCCCACGCAAUGUGGUAAGGGACCAACUGAGCUGUUAACAUGCACACAGACAGACGGCAGAGCUAAAAGACCACUGUAACACUUUCUCUGGGGUUUUGGGGUCGUGGGCACCCUCACCUGGGUGCUGCUGUGGGACCUGCAUGGAGCUUUCUCUCGCUGGCUCCUGGAGCAGCCGGCCAGGUCCUGCACUCUCUUGCUAACAUGCUCCCUCCUGCAGGGGGUUGAGCGCUGUGGCGUGAGUAAACUGUCGCCCUUGUUGCAAGUCCAAUGAAGGGACCAAGAAAAAUCCUGCAUCACUGAUAUGAAAUGUACCAAAUUAAGUAACAUCAUCUUAUUUCUUCUGAUUUUGUUUUCAGUUUGUUUAUAUUCCUUUCCAUAGGUAUUAUGUGUCUGUUUUAGUUCAUAAAAUUGUGGCCUAAUUUAUAUUUUGACCAUUAUUCAGCACACUGUUAGUACUCAGGACUAAUUUCAGUUGCUUAUUUAGACACAUCGAAAUAAAUCACAUUUUAAGGCUGGGCGCAGUGGCUCCUGCCUGUAAUCCCAGCACUUUGGGAGGUUGAGGCCAGGAGUUCGAGACCAGCCUGGGCAAUAUGGUGAAAUCCCGUCUCUACUAACAAUACAAAAGUUAGCUGGGCAUGGUGGUGCACACUUGUGGUCCCAGCUACUUGGGACUCUGAGGCACGGAAAUCGCUUGAACCCAGGAGUCAGAGGUUGCAGUGAGCCAUCACGCCACACUGCAUUCCAGCCUGAGUGAGAUUACGUCUCAAAAAAAAUUUUUUUUAAACAUAAAUAAAGACCACACUAUCUUUUUUGAAGAUUAUGUUCACAUUUCAUUCUCUCCAUUGAACUGUAUAGAUGUAUUACCUGUAUAUAAAGAAUGUAAAUUUUUUUGUAUUAAAAAUCGACACCUUAAAAAAAAACUAAUACCACCACAAGGUUAAGCUCUGAGGAGAUUUCAGCUUUACAAUAAUUACAUUGUUACAAUAAUGUUUAACUUCUCAAUAAUUAAAAACCAAAGCAAUGUUGCAACCUUGGUUCAAUAUUCAAAUAUAUUUUUCUUGGUAACCAAGCUACUUCACUAUUUAUAGUACUUUAUAAAUGAUUUAGAAUUGUUAUGCAGUUUUUUCAAAGAAGUAUUCAUAAGGUAAAUUUAGAAAAUUAUUUUAAAACGAAAGUGAUGCCCACCAGAUGGUGCUAUUUCGCCUGUUUUAUCUGCGACAAUAAGUAGGAAAAAUGAAUAUAGAACUUCAAAAAAGUGUAUGGAAGAUCUAGAAUAUUUGGGCAUUGUAUUUUGGGUGUAGAUGAGCUCAGUGGAAGGAAGCAUUCAAAUAUUCUAAACUUGUGUUUAGUACUGUAUGUUUAUCUUGAUAAAGGUAAAGAUGAAUUCCCAGAGUUAAUAUGCCAGAUAACCUUUUAUUUAGUCUAAAUGUUAAGUAGAUUUUUUGAAAAGUUGACCUAUAUGCAAAUUUUAUUAACUUCAUAGCUGUAUAUGCAUGAAAAAUGAAAUUAUUUAUUAGAUAUGUGUUACCAAAAUUUGUUUCAAGAUUUCUUUAUAUUGUUAAGUAAACAAUAUUACUAUCUCAUUUGAGUUACAUUGUGAUUUACAAAUUAAGGGAAACAUUUUGAUUUUUUUAUGUGUUUGUAAUUAUUACCCAGAAACUUAGGCUUGAAUUCACUAUUUUUACAAAGGAAAGAGAUGACUCUUCUAAAUUAAUUUUUGUAUUAGGAAGAGGGCAAACUAUGUGGUACAGUGUUCACUUAGAUGCAGCCAUUGAAUGACGAUCCAUUAGAGUCAAAAUGGUUAGUUAGCUAAUGAAAUACACUUUUCAGUAAAGCUGGAAAGAUUUAGCCAGCUCUUAAAAGUGUUUCUAGGAUUUUAAUGUAGUCUUUUUCCCGCUGAUUUUAUUAUCACUCUGUAUUCUUCUCUGGUCAUGAGAUUGAACCAUAAAAGUCAUGUAGAUGCUUGUUAUAAGUAUUUGCCAAAGUCAUCAUUGUCAGUGAUUUUAUUGGCAUGUGUGAAAUUAGAGAUUAAACUUGCUUUUAAAUCUUGCAUUUGAAUUUUUCUUCUGGAAGGGUACAUGUAUAACUUUCAAUUUAAUGUUCAAUUAUUGGUAACAGAAUGAAGCAUCUCUCUAUAGGCCAGUAAAUAUAUAUAGUAGAUUUUAUUGUAUUCCUGUACUGUUUUUGAAUGAAUAUUUUACUAAUUAUAUUAACAUAAUCCUCAUACAUACCCUUAAGAUUAGGACCUACUAUAAUGCUUUAUUUGAACUUGUUUCAUAGCAUUUGUCUUUUUUAACUUUGGAUUAUAGUUUUGGAAUAUAAAUCAGAUCCCUCCUACAAAAACAUAAAGUUCUUCAUGCUUUCUCUCAUUCCACUUAUCACAAUACUUUACAUGUAGUAGAUGACCCUAUAUAUUUUUUAUAUAAAUGAAUAGUUUUGUCAUGCCAAGUAUUGAUAUUAGUAUUAGUGACAACAAGUAUUCCUCAUUCCAUAGUUUUUGUUUUUGUUUUUUUUUUUUUUGAGACAGAGUCUUACUCUGUCACCCAGGGUGGAGUGCAGUGGCAGAAUUUCAGCUCACUGCAAUGUCUGCCUCCCAGGUUCAAGCAAUUCUCCUGUGUCAGCCUUCUUAGUAGCUGGGAUUACAGGCAUGCACCAUCACGCCUGGCUAAUUUUUGUAAUUUUAGUAGAGAUGGGGUUUCACCAUAUUGGUCAGGCUGGUCUUGAACUCCUGACCUCAGGUGAUCCACUCACCUCAGCCUCCCAAAGUGGGAUUACAGGCAUAAGCUACUGCACCUGGUCUCUGUUCUACAGUUUUUUAUCUUAUGCUUUUCUGAAAUGACUUUUUAUAGUUGGGUUUAAAAGGAUCAUCUCAUUGGAAUCUCAUAUCACAGUUAUGAUGCAUUCUGUCAUGAUGAGGAUAAGUGUAUAUUCAGGUUAAAAAAAAUCAAAAUAUUAUUGUCAGCCUGCAUCAGUAUUAGAGAUUGUCUGGUCCAGGAGUUCUCAGAUUGUGAUUCAAGGGCCUCUUGUGGGAGGGGGGGGUCAGGGGUCCUUAAGACCUUGACAGAAGUUCUGUGAGGGCAGAACUAUAUUCAAAGUAAUACUAAGACUGUGUUUACCCUUUUCAUUCUCAUUCUCUCAUGAGCAUAGGUGGAGUUUUCUAGAGGUUGCAUACCAUGCCAUACUGAUUGAAUGUACAAGUUAUAUGAAACUCUAGCAGUUCUGUCAAAAGACAAAGUUACAACAAAUUUAGUUUAAAGAUCUCAGUCAGCUUUAUUGUGAUUCUAGAAUCAGGCAAUACUUCAUUCCAUAAAGUAGAGUGUGUGUUCUAAUGAGUUGAGCAGAUGGUUGGUUUUAUAGACAGAAAGGGCUGAAGAAAGCAGAUUGGUCAUUUCAAAGUGAAUUCUCUUGUAAGGUCUGGAUGGGGAGACAGGACAAUAGAAAGACUGGUUAAUAUCAGGUUACUUCAGAUUAGGGAUUAAAACAGAGGAAACUUCAUUAUCAUGCCCAUUGAAUACUUCAUUAUCAUGUGCAUUGAAUAUUGAAAAUUGUCCUGUUUGGGAUAUUAGGCUGUUAUCUGUCUCUCCUGAUUUUUUAGAAAGUCAAGAUAACAACUCAGUUUGGGUUUGGUGAGCAUGGGUGACUCCAUUUUGAUUUUUAGUCUGGUCUUCUUUUGGAGCCUAGUGUAGGAGUUUUGUUCAAAACAGUGGCCUAUAAUUUUGGCUUCAUAAGCCAGACAUUAAAGAGAUUUGCAAAGAUUAUAAAACAGUGCUUCUCUUGUCACUAAGAUGUUUUUUAGUUUGGAAAUAGUUAUUUUCAUAAAAUGUUACAUUAACAUUUAAUGAAUUUAUUCUUAAAAUAAUAAAUAUUUAAAAAAGUUAUAUUUUAACUUCUAAUAUGAUAACUAGGGCUAGAUAUUAAAGCUCCUUGAAUUACUCGAUACUCUUUUUAAAGUGUAAAGUGGUCCUGAGAUGAAAGUGUCUGAGAACUUAUGAUCCUAAUUCUUUAUCCUCAUUUCAUAGAUGAGAAUACUAUGAGCCCAGAGAGGUUAGUUUAGUUAAGUACACUCAUCCAGUUUUUGGCUUAGCUGAUUCUUGGAUCACUGACAUCUGGCUUUUUUUGAUUUUUUUUUUUUUAAGUUUUUUUUUUUUUUUUUUUUUUUUGAGACAGAGUCUUGCUGUGUCAGCUAGGCUCGGGGGCUGGAGUGCAGUGGUGCAGUCAUGGCUCACUGCAGCCUUCACUGCCUGGGCUCAAGUGAUCCUCCCACCUCAGCCUCCUGAGUACCUGGGACUACAGGCACGUGCCACCAUGCCUGGCUAAUUUUUGUGUUUUUUGUAGAGAAGGGUAUUUUUUGUUGCCCAGGCUGGUCUCAAACUCUUGGGCUUAAGUGAUCAGCUAGCCUUGACCUCCCAAAAUGUUGGGAUGAGCCACCUUGCCUGGCCUGAUAUAUUUUAUUAGCAGUUUUGCUGUUUAGAUAUUCUUCAACCUAAUACCAACCAUCAGCUCCUUUAACAGUUUCUUCAUUUGAUAUUUUAACUAACUUUAUUAAGUACAUGAGUAAAUUAGGAAUAUUGACCUACUUUUUCAACAACAAUAAAAUGGUGUUUUUUUAAACUCAAAAAAUGUCUAGAAAAAGGGAAUUGAUAUAUGAAACAGUGUAACCUUAGCGUCAGAAAGAAUAAUGUUGAGGGCAAAGAAAUAGGUUCUUGUGUUUUAGAGACUCUUUUACUGUCUUUUUUCCUUUUUUUCCCCCCUUCUUCAACAACAAAACAUUGGUUACAAGCUUCCCUGGGCAUUUAUGGCAGCCCACCUACAGAAGAACAAGUGUUCUGUUUUAAAAUUUUAAAAAUUUUAUCAAGAGGAUAAUAAUUACACAUAUGCUGCUUUUUUGAUGGAUAUGUAUUAUUUCUCAGGUUGAGCCUCAUGGUGGGGGUGGUAGAUUCUAACCCCCUCCUUUUAAUUGUUGAAUGAAUUUAAAACUAUGUCAUAAAGAAACUGCGUAAUUUUAAUUCAAAGAAAGAUAAUUAGGAUAUACAUAAUAUCCCUCUUCCUUUGAGGGGCUUCCUUCGUGUAGAAGACAUGGACUGAGUGAUUUUUGCUCAAUAAAGGAAAACUUUCUAGUAGUAAAGAAAUACAAAAAUAGAAUCAGCUUGUUUGGAAGUAGUGAGUUCCCUUUCUUAUGAGGCAUUAAAGCAUAGACCAGAUUAUUGACUGUUAGUAGGAGUACUAGCAAAUGAAUCAGUAGAUGGAGGGUUAAUUGGGUUACAUGACCUUUCAGAUUGCUUUUUUUUUUGAGGUGGAGUCUCGCUUGUCACCAGGCUAGAGUGCAGUGGUGCAAUCUCAGCUCACUGCCACCUCCGCCUCCUGGGUUCAAGCGAUUCUCAUGCCUUUGCCUCCCGAGUAGCUGGGAUUACAGGCACGUGCCACCACACCUAAUUUUUUGUAUUUUUAGUAGAGACGGGGUUUCAUCAUGUUGGCCAGGGUGGUCUUGAUCUACUGACCUCAUGAUUUGCCUGCCUUGGCCUCCCAAAGUGCUGGGACUACAGGCAUGAUCCACCGUGCCCAGCCUUCAAAUUCUUUUAUUAAGUGUUUGAGUAUACUUGUUCAAAAUAACUUUUUAAACAAGUAUAAAAAGGCAGUUGGUUUAGCAGAUGUAUUCUACUUUUAUAUCAGCUGCUCUGUUAACCUAAAGAUUUUAUGGAUCUGUGGUCUCACCAUGAUCACUGACAUCAAUUCUCCUUGAAGGAGGAUGAGUUUUGUUUGUUCAUUUUAUUGCAAACCAUUUGAAGAGAUGAUAGAUUGGUAGCAGAAAUUUGGCAGAGAAAAGGAUGAUAAACAUUAGAAAGGAGGAUAAAGCCCACUGGAAGACAUAAAUGAAUUGAUGAUAUUUUGGUGUAUAUUUUCUCAUUGCUUUAUGAUUAUAAAUAUUUUCUGCUGCUUUUUGCCACUAUCUAUUUUUCAUGUCUUCCAAUAAAGUAUUCCAUGGCCAAAAUUUGUGUGAAAUUCUCUUCGGUUGUUGCUGGUUUUACAAGUUAUAGGGUUCUUUGGAAUAUAAUUACUGAAAUGAUGACUACACUAAAACAUAUUUCUUCUUAAUUUAACAAAGUAUUUAGUGGGAGGAAGGCUCUAGCUUUUCUUAUUUUCUUUAAUGUUUUUUAGGCAUGCUAGAGGAAAAUAGUGUUCUUACUAUUAGUUUUGAACAUUUUUUAUGACUAUAGAGUUGAAAGCCCAAAACACUAGAAGUAAAUGGAUCAUUGCAAAAUAUUUGUUUUGUUUUCAUUUGUGAGUGGGGCAUUCGUGUGUCACUGUGUCUAUGCUUCUAUUUUUCUCUGUAUAUAGUUUAUAUCCUUAAGACUUUCAGAAAGAAAUUGAGAUGUUAUGUUGUUUUAUUGUAUAUGCAUGUACAUGCAUACACACACACACACACACACACACACACACAGUUUUAUUUGUUCAUCAUAUAUUUAAGGCCUGACAUAGGUCUUACAAAGUUCAAUUACUAUAGGGCUUAAGUAGGAAAUGAAUGGUAAAAUGAGCCAAUUUGAAGCAAUAAAUACUGAUUGAUAGAUUAUCACCUUCUUCCAAAUAAGAUAUGUGGCAUCGUAGAAUCUUGCUCUUAGAUACACAGAUAUGUGUGAUGUUUAAAUAGUUGAGAAAUUCAACCAGAAAUGAAUGAAAGGGUUUUCCCGUUAUCCUGUCAUACGCAAAUUACCAGAUCAUUCAGUUCUUCAAUUUAUCAAUUCAUGUAUUUAUUCAUUUAACUAAUAUUUGUUAGUUUUAUACUAUGUGUAAAGCCCUAUUUUAGACACUGAAUACAGUGCCAGACAGUAAUUUUCCUGCACUCAUAGUUUAUACUCUAAUAGAGAAUGUAGAAUUGAGCUUUAAAUUUCCUAUUCAAUAAGUAUUUUUAGUAAUAUGUGAAGUACAAGAGCUUCUGAAGACUUAUUGCGCCACUCUCUCCCUAUUCAUCCAUUUACCAGUUGUUACUGAAUGCUUACUCUAUGUACUAGAAAUGCAGAGAUGAGUAAGAUACAACCUGGCCCUGAAAAAAAUUCAGUCUAUUUGGAGUUAUAGACAGGCAGUAACUAGCUAUUAUAUAGUGUGAUGAUGGCUAUGAUAUAAUUACAAAUAAUAUUCUGCAAGAACAGUAAUUUUCUCUAGCUGUGAGGUAUGCAAGAAGCUAUCAUAGAGAACUAAUAUUUGAGGAUGAGUAGAAAUAGUCGGGUAUAGGGAGAUCAAAGGAGAAGUUACUCCUAUUCCCCAAAUAGAGGGUUCUUCAUGAACACACAGAAGUAGGCAAGGUCUGUUUGGAGAAUGGUGAGAUAUUGUGUAGUUUGGGUAAAACACUGGGUAUGUCAUGGAGGGAGAGGUAAAAGAAGAAGCUACAACGUAGGUUCAGGCCGAAUUGUGAAAAGUUUUAUAUACAAGGUUAAAGUUGGCUUUUUAUUUUACAGUUAGUUGGGGACCUGUGGAAGAUUUUUCAGCAGGCAAACAUACUUAGUCUGCAGUUUACAAAGAUAGUUGAUAGAAUACAGGAUGAAGUAGUGAGAAGUUGAGGCUAUGGAAAGGCAGGUAUACCAGUUUGAAAACUUCAUAAUAGAUAUGAAUGAAAUAAUGAGGGUCUCUUAUAGGGUAGUAGUAGUAGUGACUUUAGAACACAGGGAUGGAUUAAAAAUCAAAUUCAGAGGUAUUUUUGUUUUGCUUCAUUUUUUUGAGACAGGGUCUUGCUCUGUCACCCAUGCUGGAGUGCAGUGACAUGAUCACAGCUCACUGCAGCUAGGGCUACAGAUGUGUGCCACCAUGGCUGGCCAAUUUUUUAUUUUUAUUUUUAUUUUUGGUAGAGACAAGGUCUCAUUAUGUUGCCCAGGCUGGUCUUAAAAUCCUGAGCUCAAGCGAUUCUUCCAUCUCAGUCUCCCAAAUUGCUAGGAUUACAAGCAUGAGCCACCAUGCCUGGUCCAGAGUUAGAACUGACAGGAUUUAGUGAGUGAUCCAUAUGGAGAGAGGGCGUUGAAAAAGAUUUUGAAGUUUUGUGUUUAGUGUCUGCAUAAUUAAAUGCUGGUACUAUUAACUUCAAAAGGAAAAGCAAUAUGGUUGAGGGAAGCAAUGAAUUUGGUUUUGUAAUAUUGAGGGCAGGAGUAAACCUAAGGGAAUGUUGGAGGCAUUUAAAUUCUAAGUGGAGGAGAUGCCUAUUCAAGAGAAAGGAGGAGGAGUAGGGGGAAGAGAUAGCUGUUCAGUGUGUCAUUAAACCUCUCAAAUCCUCAGUUUGUUAUUUAUCAUAUAUUGGAGGUAGAAUCAAUAAUUUUUCUGGUUUUGAAAUAACCUGUGUUUUAGUUAUCACAAAUUCUAAAUUAGUAGUACAAAAAUUAUAAUAAUUAUAGUUUAUAUGUUAUAGACUGAUGAUAAUAUUUAUUGAUUACUUCCUGUGAAGUUUAGGUAAAAUGCUAAGCAUUUUGCAUUCAUCAUCCAUUUAAUUCUCCUAGCAAUAUGAGUUAAAUAUUAUUACUAUCUGGAUUUUCAGAAAAGGGAAGAUAACUUGACCAAGAUUGUUACAGCAAAUAAGUGGUGGAUGGGUAUUCAAACCCAGGACAAUCUGACAUUAAAACUCAAGCUUUUAACCACUAUAUUAUUUGCCUGUCUUGUAGAACAUAAGAGUUGUAAUGAAUCUAAAACAUCAUCUAGCCCUUUCCUGUAAUCAGAUUUAUGUCAUAGCUAAGGUCUGUAAUUAAUGUCAAAAUUAGCUAUCCAAUUUACUUAAUAAGAAGCUUACUCCACAGCCAUUCAUUACUGCUGUUUUCCUUGUGGCAGAUACUUUUUUUUUUUUUUUUUUUUUUGUCGACUCACCUCUUUACCGUGUGAUGUGAGUAAAUUCUGUAUAGUCUAGGCCACUCAUGAUUAUCCCAUUUUUCUUGCUAGUCAUUAAUUAAGACCUGAACAUAGGACUGAUAUCUGACCAAUAACUCAUUUGUGGCCAAUGAGACAUGAGGGGAGGUUUGGUGGAGGGGCUUCUUGGAAAGGUAACACCUCCUCUCCCCUCAUUUUUGGAUGUUUCUAUCUAGAUGGGUUCUUGGAAUUGUGAGAGCUAUCUUGGAAUUAUUUGGGGCCUAGGUCAGGAUAAAACCAAAACACUGGAUGGCACAGUGAAAAGAUGGUGAGAACUUGGAUCCUUAAUGAUCUUGUUGAACUUCUAAAUUACCCAUUCCUAAAGCUAUUGUGCCUCAGGACUAGGUCUUACAUGAAAUUAGAGGGAAUUUAUUAGGCUGUGUGAAACAAGGACUUUUUAAGGCUACUAACAGUUUUUUUCUUUUAAACGAUACUUAUCACUGAAAGAAACCUAACUGGGAUCUGCAGUGUUUAUCUUUGUCUGAAGUAAAUAGAAAGGCACUGUAGGGCUUGCAUUACUGUUGAGACACAAUUAAAACAGGAAUAGAAGACAAUUUUUGUGUCACUGCACCUAAUUUAAUUGGUGUAGAAGUUGGAGAUGAUCAUGCUCUAGAAAACAGAUCUUAUAUAUGUUAAAGGUAGCAAAGUGUCAUUGAGGAAAUGAGUCUGAUUAUUCUGACAGUUUCUGUAGGUAAAAGGAAUAGAAAGUAAGUGUUCAGAUUAGGUUAGGAAAUAGAAAUGGAUUUAGUUUGUAGACAGUUAACCUACGUUUCAGGGUCCUUCCAAGACUCUGGAAGAAUCUCAAGCAAUGUGUUAACAUAAUAUUUUGGGUGAGGCGGGGUAAGAUUUGCAAAAGUUAGGUAUUUAAUCCAUUAAAACUGCUAUUCCUUUUCACUUAGACUUUCCCUGUAUCAUACCCUCAUAUUGGGUGGCAUUAGAGUGGCCUGAGCUAAGGGAAAAUUGAGUAGAGGAUACAUUUAGAGAUAGUAUAUGGUUAGCAGUUGUUUAUGUGUCCAGUUAUUUUGUAGGCAUUACUUCCAGGAAUGUUAUUACUGUCCACUGUGUCUACUUCCCUGGCCUUGUGAUACAUAGAUGUAGUUUUGCAGGGCAGGUGAGCCCCAAAGUGGGGCUCAGCCCGUGAGGGUUCUUGGCUUUGCCCAGAAAAGAAUUCAAGGGCAAGCCAGAGGUAGAAGAAAAUAGAUUUAUUGAACAGGCAGUGUUACAGCUCUGGUGGUGUUAUAGCUCGGUGACUGCUCCUGCAGAGCAGGGCUACCCCGUAGGCAGAGAGUAGCAGUUCAGGGCAGUUAUUAAUACCCUUUUUUAAUAACAUGCAGAUUAAGGAGUGGUUUAUGCAGAAAUUUCUAGGGAAGGGAUAGUAACUUUUGGGUCAUUGGGUCAUUGCCAUGGAAAGUGGUGGUAACUCCUGGGUGUUCUCAUAGCAGUGUUGACAUGGCACACUGGUGGGUGUGUCUGAUGGAAAGCUUCUUCUGCCUAAUCAUCUUUCAGCUAGUCCUCAAUUUAAUUGGGUGUCUGAACCUGUCUCUAGAGUCAAGUCCUGCCUCCUAACUCAGUAGGGGCAAGGGUCUUAGAGCAUUAUAAAUAUGUUCUUUGUGGUAGAGGUAGAGGAAGAGAAACAUCGUUUAAGUGUUUAGAGUGAGAAACUAGUCUGGAAAAUUUUUCUAAAUCUUGGAACUUGAUUGUGGUUUUCGUAAAUUUGAUAAUAUUCCUAAGAAUGUAUAUGACAUUAUCAGUAAUAAGUUAUAAAGAAGUUAUAAAGCUGAUAUAAACUCUCUACACUGCCUUUUUUUUUUUUUUUUUUUAAGAUGGAGUCUCCUCUGUCACCCAGGCUGGAGUGCAGGGGUGUGAUCUCUGCUCACUGCAACCUCUGCCUCCCAGGUUCAGGUGAUUCUUUUGCCUCAGCCUCCUGAGCAGCUGAGACUACAGGCACGCACCAUCAUGCCUAACAAAUUUUUGUAUUUUUAGUAGAGAUGGGGUUUCACCAUGUUGGCCGGGCUGGUCACGAACUGCUGACCUCAAGUGAUCCGCCCGCCUCAGCCUCCCAAAGUGCUGGGAUUACAGGUGUGAGACACCGUGCCUGGCCUACACUGUCAGUACUAAAAAUUGAUCAAACACAGUAGUAAAAAGAUAAAAUUAUCUUUCUAUUCUCUUAAUGUUGCAAAAUUGUUAUAUGAAGAGGAAAUCAAGAAAUGCAGCCAGAAAUGUAAGAAAAUAAGAGCAUUAUAGAGAUAGAUUAGGCAAUUAAUAAAGAUAUGCUCUUCUUUUUGAAAUUCAUGUUUUUGGCAUUUGUUAGCCUUUUAAAGUUAGUGUUUAGUUGUAAUUUAUUUUCUCAUUCCAGAUAUUUACUUCACACCUAAUUUUGUAUUCCUUUCCUUAAAUAGAGUCCCACAAAUUGUAAAAAAGGAAUUAGCUCACCAAAAACACCAAAUGCAGUAUUUUUAAUAUUUACCUUUCAGGUUCGGUUGCUGGAUCUAGAUAUGCCUCUUUUUUUUAUUUCCUCAUUUUUUCUUCUAAAAAGAAAAUUAUGUAUUUUAAUGUCAGAUUGCUUUUGAUUAAAAUGUUUCAUAUUAAAAUUGUAUACCUGAAAAAUAUUAUUCAAUAACACACUUCAAAAAGUUGACAGUUAAAAAAAAAAGAAUAGCCCUUGUUACUUUUCUUAUCUAAUCACAGAGUUUGUGUAGUGAAUGUAAAAAGAAAAAAAAAUUGUUACAAGUUUGGAGCAAAGAGCUCUGUGUUUAAAAGGAAUCUCCUUCUUUUUUUGUGUGUUUUUCCUUUUGUACCAAUGGGGAACCUAAAUCUGUUUUAGUUGCACAGACACAAUGGACAAAUAGUCAUUUUGUAUUUGCCAAGUGUGAUACCUUCCUUUGUUUAUUUGCUAUUAAACUGUUGAGAGU